rnacentral:lncRNA from 1 species
AUGGGAGAACUUAGUUUCUUCCUUGGUCUUCAAAUCAAACAACUCAAGGAUGGCAUCUUCAUAAGUCAAGAAAAAUACACAAGGGAUUUGCUCAAGAAAUUCAAAUUAAAUGAAGGUAAAGUUGCAAAAACUCCUAUGAGCACUACCACUAAGCUUGACAAAGAUGAAAAAGGUAAGUGUGUGGAUAUAAAGACUUAUCGAGGUAUGAUCGGAUCUUUACUUUAUUUGACCGCUAGUAGACCCGAUAUCAUGUUUAGUGUAUGUCUUUGUGCUAGAUUUCAAUCUUGUCCUAAAGAAUCACAUUUCCAUGCUGUUAAAAGGAUACUUAAAUAUUUGCUUGGAACUAUUGAUGUUGGAUUAUGGUAUCCUAGAAAUGUUGAGUUUAAUUUGGUAGGAUAUUCCGAUGCGGACUUUGCCGGUAGUUUACUUGACCGUAAAAGUACUAGUGGGACUUGUCAAUUUCUUGGUAGUUCCUUAGUAUCUUGGUUUAGUAAAAAGCAAAAUUCGGUUGCCUUAUCCACUACCGAAGCGGAAUAUAUUGCGGUUGCUAGUUGUUGUGCACAAAUUCUUUGGAUGAAACAAACUCUUUGUGAUUUUGGAUUAAAAUUUGAUAAUGUGCCUAUAUUUUGUGAUAAUACUAGUGCCAUAAAUUUGACUAAGAAUCCUAUUCAUCAUUCUAGAACUAAGCAUAUAGAUAUUAGGCAUCACUUUAUUAGAGAGCAUGUACAAAAUGGUCAUAUUACUCUUGAGUUUGUAAGUUCCAAUAAUCAAUUAGCGGAUAUAUUUACCAAACCUUUGAGUGAAGAAAGCUUUUGUAAAAAUAGGCUUGAGCUUGGAAUUAUUCGUUGUGAUGCAUCUUGAUUUUAUAUCUUACUUGAUAUUGUUACCCUAAUGCAUAUUGAUAGGGGGAGAAUUAGACAUUUUGUAUGUGUUCAUAUUUUUUUUGGGAGAGCUAACUUCCUUGGUAUUGUUUUUGAUGAUUCCAAAGGGGGAGAAGUAUAAGAAAAAUAUGAUUAAUUAAGGACAAAGAAGGUUCUCUUAUCAAUUGUUUUCAAGUAUGAUCUUUGUGGUGAAAUAUAUACAUGAGCUUUAUGGUUAUACAUCUUGAUAAUAGAAUUACUUGUUGACCAUGUGUGUUUCAAGUUAUUUUUCUUCAAUGAUUUGUCAUCAUCAAAAAGGGGGAGAUUGUUGGCUUUUUGGCCCUUAAUCUCAAAUUAAUUUAUUUUAAUUAUUCAAUUAAUUUAUGUUUUGAUGAUAACAAAUCUGAUUUUUUUUAUUGACAAUUUUAUUAAUUUGAAUAGACCAUAUCGUAGAGCUUGGAAAAAUGAUUCUAACGCCUCUUGAAUCACCCAAAUCGAAGUUCAAAUGAAGAAAAUAUUGCUAAAAGAAGCUUAACGAAAAAAUACCCGAGAUGGUGACGUGGCGACCAAGCAUUCAAUUUGAACCAAUUAGAGAAAGCCACUUGGAGCAAUGAAGAAGUAACAAAUGUGGCUUUUUGUUAUGUUUUAUUGGCUUUUAUAAAGAAAAUGAAUUUAAAAGAAAAAUGAUUUUAAUAUUAUUAUUUUUUAUUGUGUCUAACGGCUAGUUUUUUUUAAAAGAGGGUGAAGUUGUUUUAUUGAUUUCUUUUUAAACAAAAUAUUUUGAAAAGACAUAUUAUUAUAUUAUUAUUUGUAUUGUGUCUAACGGCUAAUUAAGUUUAAAUCUCAACCAUUCAUUUUUCUUUUACUUAUAUCUAAUGACCCAAAUGAUUUUGAGUUUAUCUUUCCUCUCUUUUUAAAUACUUCACAUUUACACAAGAUUACCACAUCUUUACAAUCCUCAAGCAAAAAGCCAACAUUGUUAUUCUCUCUAAAGCUUCCAAUUUUUAUUCUUUUCAUCUUAUUCUUGAGAGCUUCUUAUUGUAUUGUGAGGAUUAAAUUUGUGAGCUUCAAAUUGAUAUAACUCAACUCUUUUUAGAGAGUUUUCUUUUGUGUGAUUUAAAAGAUUUCAACAUAUAGUAACGGUUGGAUCCUAAUCCGUGGAAAGGAUCGGGUUUGCUCUUGAACCCGAAAAAGGAGCAAGAAUCGGUUCGGCUCAAAUCCGUGGAAAGAGUCCAAAGAAGAUUUUCAAUCAAAAUCCCAAGGGGUGCUUGGGAAAGUGGAUGUAGGUUGAGUUUAACCGAACCACUAUAUAAAUUACGGUGUCUUCUUCUCUAACUCUUUUCUAAUUAUUUUUUAAUUUAAUUUUAGUUACAUAUUCUUAUUGGUUGAGUUUGAUUGCAUACUUCCAUUCAUAUCUUUUUAUCAAUCUUGUUAUUUAACAAAGUUUACAAAGUUCUUUAUUUAAAUUUUAGAAAAUAUCUAAUUAGUUGAUUUUACUUUUUAUUUGUCGAAAAGUUUAUUUAAACCCUAUUCACCCCCCUCUAGGGUUGCCAUACCGAUCCAACAUAUAACUGGUAAUCCAUUGAAUAUGAGGAUCACAAUCAGAGCUUCAUAACCUUCCUGAGAGUAAAGGAAGCCCAAGAUAACGAACAUGUAGAUGACUAAUGGUAAAACCCUUACUAGCAGCUAGAUGAGAAGCUUUUGCACUAUUAAACCCCACAACAGCUUUUCCCAAGAUUAGCAAAAAGCCCCGUAACUCACCAAACCUCUGAAUAGUCUCUUUUAUGAAGUUCAUAGAAGACUCAUCAGCAGCACAAAAAAUCAUAAGAUCAUCCACAAAAGUAAGAUGAGUUAAACUGACCUUCUCACAAAACUGGUGGAACUGAAAGUUCUGAGGCAGAUAGUUCAACAUGUGAGAAAGUACCUCCAUGACCAUCACAAAUAAGAACGGAUAUAAUGGAUCACCUUAUCUUAGUCUUUUCCUCCCAUGAAAAAAGCCUUCUAAAGAUCCAUUAAUUAUAAUGGAGAACAUCAGGGAAAUGACACAAGCUUUAAUUCAACUCACAAUGCUCCAAGGAGUGCCAAUAGCUAUCAACAAACUAAAGAAGAAAUCCCAAUUGACAGAAUCAUAGGCUUUUUGUAGAUCAACCUUCAUAGUACACUGUGAUUUUCCUGUGUUUUUAUGGUAUCCCCCAACAAGCUCCUAACAAAUAAGAAUAUUAUCAAUAAUACUCCUCCCUGGAAUGAAAGAAAACUUAUUGCUACUGAUAAACAAAGGUAGCCACCCACGAAGUCUAUCAGCUAAAAUUUUUAGAUACACUUGUAGAUAACAUUACAACAAGAAAUAGGCCUGAAAACUUCCAUACGGUCAACACCAUUCCUCUUAGGAUAAGAGUAAUAGCAGUGGUAUUCACUCCCUAAGGGAGAUAACUAGUCUCAAAGAAAUGUAAACCAGCAUCACAGAAAUCCUCCCCAACCACAGCCCAAGCUCCUUUGAAGAAACCCACCUAAUACCCAUCAGGACCUGGAGUCUUUCCAUUAUCCAUGGAAAAAAGAACUUGUCUCACCUCGUCCCUUCCAAUUGGCACCUGGAGGGUCUGGCAACACUCCUCAGACCUUGGAUAGUGGAGAGCUCUCUGUAACCAAUAUUUUAAACUGAACAAUAUUCUCAAUACAAGCAGAGAGCUCUCUAUAACCAAUAUUCUAAAAACCUAGACUGUUUUUAAAAUAUUUUACUGCCACUUGAGUCACCUCUUCAUGGUUAGUCAACCGAGUACCAUCCAGAUGAACCACAGACCACAAAGUAUUACUGUUUAGGCGAAACUGAAUGGUCCUGUGAAAGAAGGCAGUAUUCUGGUCACCUAAUUUCAGCCACCGUAUUCGAGACUUUUAGCGCAUAGUAGCUUCCUCCACUUAUAACUUUUGUUGAAAUUUUUUGUAGGCUACGAGUCACGAACUUACACUUUAGCAUCCUUAGGUUGUUUUGGUAGUUCGAAUGAUACUUACACACGUUUUGAACACUUUUAAGGUUUUGUUUGACAAAAGGUUUGGUUCACUUACACACUUUUCUUCUUUCCUUAACCUUUUGGGGAGCUUACGAGUUACGAACGUACCCUUAAGCUUAGUUAGGUCACUUUCAAAGCUCAAAUGAUACUUAGACAUGGUUUCAAUACUUCUUAGGUUCGUUUGAGACUGAGUUUGCUGCACUUGCGUACUUUCUAGCACCUUUGGGUCACAGAGUGCUCUUCUCACACUUCCAAACUUUUAGGUAGGUUAUGUGCUGCGAACUUAUAGUUAAGCAAUGUUACGUCGUUCCGAAAGUUCAAGUGAUACUUAAACAUGUUUUGAACACCUUUUGGGUUUGUUGUUGCACUUACACACGUGUUUUCCAAUUUGGGUCAUGAAGUACCCUUUUCCUACUUUUCUGACUUUUUGGUAGGUUAUGAGUGGCGAACGUACACUCGAGCUUUGCCAGGUCAUUCUGAAAGUUCAAGUGAUGCCCAAACACGUUUCGAACACCUCUUGGGUUCAGUUGAGACUAAGUUUGUUGCACUUGCACACUUGGUUGCCAAUUUGGGUCACGAAUUACUUUUUAAAUUCUUUGUUAAAAGUUUUGGUAGGUUAUGGGUUACAAACUUAUGCCGAAGCAUUGUUAGGUCGUUUUAAACACUUUUUAGGUUUGUUUGAAACUAUGUUUGUUGUGCUUACACACUUGGUUGACAUGUUGGGUCAUGUAGUGCUGUUUUUACAGCCUUUAAAAUUUUGGUAGGUUGUGAGUCACGACCUACACUCUUAACCAUUGUUUGGUCUUUUUUAAAAACUUAGACGCGCUUCGAACGGUUUUUUGGAUUUGUUUUUAAAAAAUGCUUGCGCACACACUUGGUCGGCAGUAUAGGACUUCCAGUGCCUUUUUCGCACUUCUUGAACUCUUUGGAAGGCCAUAAGUUACGAACUUAAGCAUUGUUAAUUGGUUUUGAUAGCUCAAGUAAUUCGAUGACAUGUUUUCAAAACUUCUUGGGUUGGUUUGAAACUAUGUUUUGAAAAUUCGAUGACAUGUGGUUUCCAAUUUGGGUCAUGAAGCACCCUAUUCCUACUUUUCUUCUCUUUGGUAGGUUAUGAGUUGUGAACAUACGCUCGAGUGAAGAGAUAGAAGCCCUAUGGCAGCGAAAAAAUUUAAAGAACCGUUACUCAAAUUAAUUUGGAAAUCUUAAAAUACCAGUACAUUGGAAAAAAUUUAGAAUAAAAAAUCUAAAUAAAAACUAAGCAUACUUUAAAUUAAAGAAAACAGAUAACUUACUUUCGAUGACGUCUCUGAAUCUACAAGUCACCGAAUUGGGGACACCACCUGUCGGAGACCUUCCUAUCCUCUGCGAUGAGAUUGGUUUGUGGAACCAAUUGGGAUGAGAAAAUGUUUAGAGAUAUUUGAGAAAGAACCUUUUCUUUUUGCAGAGAGAAAAACCUUUGCUUUUUUCUUAAUGAAUUUCGUUAAAGAAAACUGUUUUUUUUUUCUAGAUAUUUAUAUCUCUCUUUCUUUCCUGGAAUAGGAAAAGAAGUAAGAGAGAAUCAUGAGAUUCUAUUAUCAAAUCUACUGAUUAAUUAACAAUUAAUCAAUUAGUUAAUAAUUAAUUAAAGUCAAUUUAAGCCUAAAGUUUGGAUAUAUGUUUUCUAUUUUGUUCAUUUGCUAACUAUGAUUCUUGGCGAUAUGACCAUUGUGUUAUUUUAGAAACAAAUGUCUGGGGAGAAUGAUUUUAAGUUGUUAUAUAGUUGUUCCACAGGCACAAUUCUUUGGUUUAAAAUCUUCGAAGUUGUUGAUGAAGUGUAAUAACACCAUGAGGAUGACCAUAAAGGGAUAUGCAGCACAGGCUUGCACAACACCUAGUCCUGAAAAUAUUCUCGAGUGGGUAAGAAAAGAUAAGAGGAGAUUGCUUCGUGUUGUCUAUUGUGUUGAAGAUUUGGAGAGGACAAUAAAGUAUGUAUAAUUUCCAUUAGACUAAAAGUUUGUUGCUACAUCUUUUUCUUAUCUUUCAACUUUUCUUUUCUUCCUAAGACAGUUAUUAUACAAAAUAUGUUUAUUGCAGACUCUAUACUGAGUGCCUGGGGAUGAAGUUGUUGCGAAAACAUGACAUACCAGAGGAGAAUAUACAAAUGUUUUUCUUGGAUACGGUCCCGAAGAGGCUCAAUUUAUUAUUGAACUUACUUACCGUAAGUUAUACUUACAAUAUAUAAUGGGAUGUUUUGAAAUAUAGUAAAAUGAGUUAACUUAUUUACAAACGUAGCAAAAUUUUACUUUCUAUUUGUGAUAGACAUAGAUAAAUAUCUAUCAAUUUAUUGAUGUCUAUUCUGAUCCAUCACACUUUAUCACUCAUAGAAAGUAAACUUUUUUUAUAUUUGUAAACAUAUUUUCCAUUAAACAUACUUUCUUAUAUAUAAUUUCAAAACUAUAAACCUUGGGCUUCUUUAGAUGUGGAAAUAUUGAUUCCUCAUCGAAUUGCUUACAUAAACUGAAUUAUAUUAUUUUGGUUGUCUGCUGACCUCAAAUUAUGGAGUUGACAAGUAUGAUAUUGGAGCUGGGUUUGGGCAUUUUGGGGUUGCAGUUGAAGAUGUAAGUCUAUACGUCAUGUUUUUUAUUGUAUGUUCUACACUUUGUUAAGAUUUAAAGGAAUUUUUGAUAUUUUUUAUUGGGUUUUGACAAAUGAACUAAAUCUUUUCAAAUAAAGUAAAUCCCUAGUAUAAAGGAAUCUAAAUAAAUUAGUUCCUUAGAUUGGGAAAGAAGUUGUGUUGUUGGUUUUAAAUAGAGAUAUACAAUGAAAAAAAGGUGUGCAUAGAUGGUGAAGAUAACCUGACUGGAAGUACAACGGAACGUUUAAAAGCAAUUGCAGGAAAGGUAAAGUGGCUUCCAGAAUAUAUAAUUUGAUAUGAUAUACAUAUGACGUAAGGGAGUACAAAACGUUAGUUGAAUCAAUGACUGUAAUUUAACUAUCGGUGAAUAUGGAAUAUGCACUUGAGAAGACGACCUCAGGAUUGAGGAAUCAGUUCUGUAAAUCAGGGGGAGCCUGCCUAAAUUGGGAGAACUUGUUAACAUGAAGAUUGUGCAUGCUGUGUAGACAGUUCUGAUGUCCAAGGGGAGUUCGUACAAGUCUUCAACGGAUGGGGCAUACGAUUCAGGAGAAUCAGAUGUUUAUGUUUAGUUUUGUGAUGACUAUUCUCUGUAAUCCUAGUGACAAGUUAUGCAUUGAACUUCUCAAUAAUAUUCUAUAUCUGAGCAGAUAUGCUCCCCAGAUGUAGGCACUCUUCGCUGAACUGGGUUAACAAAGUGCACUGUAUUUUCCUGUUUAUGUUAUCUAGUUAAACGCUUAGUUAAGUACAACUAAUAUAACUAAAAGGGGAUACAAAGGCAGACAAAGGAAUCUUUCUGGGUUAUUCUUCGAAUAGCAGAGCAUUUAGAGUAUAUAAUCAACGUACCCAAACUGUGAUGGAAUCAAUUAAUGUGGUAAUACAUGAUGAUAUGAGUCCAGGCGUCAAACCACAGGAAGGAGAUGACAUGGUGCUAAUACAAAGCUCAGAUAACACCAGUUGAUGAAACUACUGACUCAUCAACUACAGCUGAUAUUAGUGAGAGUAGUAGUGAUCAGUAGUCCAAUGAAGUGGACCAAAAUGUAGAACGGACAGGACCCCCUUCACCACAUAAUUAAGAAUCAUCCUUCUAACAGUAUCAUUAGUGAUAUUCAAAGUGGAAUCAAUACCAGAAAGAAGGAUCGGAUUGAUUAUGCAAAACUGAUUGCAAAUAUUUGUUACAUCUUCAACAAUUGAACCAAAAACAGUUGCUGAAGCUCUUAAAGAUGAACACUGGAUUCAUGCAAUGCAAGAGGAGUUACUGCAAUUUGAACGAAACAAGGUUUGGAAGUUAGUACCAAAACGAGCCAGCAUGUAAAUGUUAUCGGUACAAAGUGGAUCUUUAAAAAUAUAAAUGAUGAACAGGGUAUAGUAAUUCUGAAUAAAGCACGGUUAGUUGCUCAAGGAUAUACUCAGAUUGAAGGAGUAGAUUUUGAUGAAACGUUUGCUCCAGUAGCCAGAACUGGAAGCUAUUCACCUUUUACUCAGCAUUGCAAUGUAUACAGCGGAUCAAGUUGUAUCAAAUGGAUGUGAAGAGUGCCUUCUUAAAUGGAUAUCUGUAUGAAGAAGUUCAUGUUUCUCAACCUAAAGGGUUUGUUGAUCCAGUUGUUUCCACAGCAUGUUUACAAAUUACACAAGGCAUUGUAUGGGCUCAAACAGACAGCACGAGCUUGGUAUGAACGACUUAGUGAGUACUUGCAAAGACAGGGUUAUGUUCGAAGUAUCACUGACAGAACCUUGUUCAUAAAAUCGAACAAGGUGAAAAUAUCAUUGUAGCUCAGAUUUAUGUGGAUGAUAGUUAUAUUUGGUGGAUUUCCAGAUGAUAAUGUGACAAGUUUUGUUAACAUUAUGAAACCAGAGUUUGAGAUGAGUCUUGGUGGGAGAGUGUGUCCUUCUUUCUUGGGUUACAGAUCAGACAAAAUUAGAACGAGAUUUUUGUAUCCCAAGCAAAAUAUGCUCAUAAACCAUGAUUAAGAAGUUUGGCUUAGAAAAUUCUCAGGAUAAGAGAAAACCAGCUGCUACAGAGAUCAAAUUAAAUAAAAGAUUGUUUAUCUGAAGCAGUUGAUCUUACAAUAUACCGAAGUAUGAUUGGCAGCCUGUAUCUUACUGCUAGCCAUCCGGAUAUUGGCUUAUGUUGUUGGAGUAAUGUGCCCGAUUUCAAUCUGCUACCUCGUCAUACACAGCUACAAGCUGCUAAGCGUAUAAUUAAAUACAUACAAGGUACAGCUGACUAUGGAAUUCACUAUUCUUUUGGUACAACUUCAGCACUAGUUGGUUAAAGUGAUGCAGAUUGGGCAGGAUGUACUGAUGACAAAAAAUCUACUUCUGGUGGAUGUUUCUUUCUACGAAACAACUUGGUUUCUCCUGGUUUAGCAAAAAACAGAACUCUGUGUCACUAUCUACAGCAGAAGUUGAGUAUAUUGGAGCAGGGAGUGUGUGUGCUCAACUUGUCUGGAUGAAACAAAUGCUCAGUGAAUAUGUUCUGCAUCAAGACAGUAUGGUAUUGUAUUGUGAUAAUAUGAGUGCUAUUGACAUCUCAAAGAAUCCAGUUCAACAUAGUCGCCACCAAGCAUAUAGACAGAUCUGUCAUCACUUCAUUCCCAAUUUAGUUGAGGAUAAAAGGGAUUUUCCUUAACACAUGUCAGAACAACUCAGUCAGGUAGCGGAUAUUUUUUACCAAACCACUUGACACUAAUACAUUUGAAUAUUUAAAGGUUGAGUUGGGAGUGUGUCGUGAAGAAAUUUAAAAAAAAAAAAAAAAAAAAAAGGGAAAAGGAAACUGAUAGUGUUAUUUUAGUGUGGGCUGAGAAGAAAAGAAAGAGGUGGGUGUUUGGCCCACGUGCUGAAUACACGGAGGAUCGUGGAUUAAAUUUGGGCGGGAAGAGAUGGAAUAUGAAAAGAAAACAGGCUUAGGUUCUCCCACAUUCUCGACUGGUUUGUUCUGCUCGCUGAAAUUUUUUCGGUUUCUCAUUUGUUCACUAUAGUGAGUACUCGGCGGGGGUACUAUCAAGAAGCUCCAGCAUCUCAUGCUUCUGAGAUUCGCUCUAACAUGCAUGGAGUUCGAAUGAGAGGAAAGCGGGUCAAGAGCAUUCCGUCUCGUCGUCCUUAUUCACGGAUGGCAGAUAGAGGUAAGGUAUCCUAUACUAUGAGUUCCAGUAGUUCUGAGUCAGUACAGGAUGUACCUACUACAAUGGCUGCCAGUGCAUCGUCUGAUUUGCAAGAUCAGAUUCCGCUCACUGAGUUAUUACGGAAAAAGACUCAAUCACGGUCGUCAGUGCCGGAAGGGGUUUCCAAAAGUCCAAAACUAAAUGUGUCAAAAGAAAAAGGGAAAGCCCUAUGUCUGACUCUUCGACGGAUGCUUCCAGUUCGACUUCGGUACCAAUGUCAAAUCGUCAGUCUUUUGGUUCGUCUUCAUCACAUAAGUUGUCUGAUGCACCCACUCAAGUUCCUCCUUCUCCGGCACCUGCACAACCCUAUUCUUCUUCACAGCCUGCCGCUGCACAACCAGCUCCUCCAUCUUCCGCCACUAAGGAAGCAGACAAGACUUCCUCUCCUCCUCCUCAAACCAAGGUACCUGAACCUAGAGGGGUCACAAUCAAGACUGGACGAAGAUGCCUUCCCCGAAAUAUUCCAUCUGUUCCUAUUGAUGGGAUCUCAUUCCAUCAUGAGGAGAAUGCUCAGUGCUGGAGGUUCGUAGUGCAAACGCGUUUGGCUGAUGAGGUGAAUAUAUCAUACAAACAUCAGUCUUGUGUAGCAAUAAUGGAACUAAUUAAUCAGGCUGGACUUUCGCGCACGAUUCUCAAUGUUGGACCAUUCUAUCCCAAGCUCAUCAGAGAGGUCAUUGCUAAUCUAUCGUCUGAUUUUGAUGAUCCAAGCAGUCCAGAUUAUCAAACAAUUCAUGUCAGAGGACGAACACUUGUCAUCUCUCCCUAUGUGAUUAAUACUUUCUUAGGGCUUACUCCGUCGGAGAAUGCUGAUUUACCAACCCACUCAACAGAUACCCUGGCAUCUGUGUUGACAGGAGGGUCUCUUAUAGUUUGGCCACUCACUGGCAUUCCUUCUGCUGCACUCAGUGUCAAGUAUGCCAUUUUGCACAAAAUUGGCAUCGUAAACUGGUUCCCAUCAUCACAUGCCUCUAGUGUUUCUGUAGCUCUGGCUUCAUUUCUCUUCUAAAUUGGUACUCGUGCAUGGGUAAACCCUAAACAAUUAUUACAAUAAUAACACUUUAUUAAUAACGGUCAAUGAAUUAUAUUUACAAUUUACGAGUUUUAGGACAUAAAUUCCAACAUAUUAGUCUUCCGUCUCAUGUAUAUAUUUUUUUAAUUAGCAAUUUAGUGUAUGACUAUUGGGCUUUCACCUCAUGUAUAACAAUUUAGUCUAUAAACUGGCUUGUAUACUGCUCUUGAAAAGGUAGAAAAUCAAUAUUUAAAAAGCUUGUGCUUAUUUCAACCCUUUUGGUGUUAUUCUUUCUUUUUCAAAUCCUCCUUUAGAUUUAAUGUUAAAAAUCAAUUCAUUGGAUUUGUCUUGAUCAAACUAUUCAUAGAGUGAGUUGUCUUAGGAUCUAAGAGUGACCAUCAUAGAUUCUAGGUUUGAUCUAAGUAGCUUUCUUUGUGAAUAUUGUAAGGAUCCUAGAAGGACUUCUAGCUUUGUAAUAUUUAACUAACAAAGUGGACCUUCAUGGUUGGAAAGAAAAGUCGAUGAAAAAAGGUAAAAACUAAUUCAAGAGUGGUCCACGCCAAGCAAUACUACUGAGGUGAGAUCUCAUGGCUUGGCUAGCUUUUAUAGAAGCUUUUCAUUCAAAUUUCUUGUUUGGAGGCAAGGAUUAAGGGAGGAAAUCCGUCUCUUUCUUCCUCUCAAUCCCUCUCUUUUCUUCCUCUCAAUCCCCUCUUUCCUCUUUUAAUGUUUCUCUUUCUUCCAUAAAUGGAAGCAUUUCAAACUUUUCUCUUUUGCUGAAGUAUAAAUAUAUUUUUUAAUAAUUAUAUUUUAACGAAUAUAAUUAUCUUUUCAUUUUUUUCAUAACUAUUAUAUAUAUAUAUAUAUAUAUAUAUAUAUAUAUAUAUAUAUAUAAUAUAUAUAUAUAUCAACAUAUACAUAUAAUUAUCAAAUUUCUAACACAAAUUCAACUCUUUAAUUUAAUUAAACAAAUACCAAAAAAAAUAUUUAAUUAAAUUCAAAUUUAACAGCACCAAAAAUCCAAUUGAAUGGUUAAUUAAAUAUUCAAUUCACAAAUAUUUAAUUAAUUUUAUUUUCACAAAACCACAAAUAUUUAAUUAAUUUUAUUUUCACAAAACCACAAAUAUUCAAUAUAAUGAUUGUCCGUUAGUUUUGAACCGCAUGACCCAUUUUUUAUUUUGGUUUCCAUUGCUUUUUUAUUAUUAUUAUUUUGCAUUAUCUCAAUAUACCACAUAAUUGACUUCACCGUUUAAUUACAUUUUAAAUAAAAAAAAAAUUAUAUUUCAUUUUGUUUCAAUGUUAUUAUGUUCAUCUUUAUUUAUUUAAAUUGAAUGUUAGUGAUAUGCAAUUUAAGAAAUAAAUAUAAUUUCUUUCGCACCUAACACAUCGAUUAAUUUAUUGACACGAAAAGCUUGCGUAUGAACAUGUUUUCCAAUAAAAAAAUCUAAAUUUAAGUAAAUUAAAAAUACGAAUAUUUGUAUAUUGGAUUUACUAUACAAUUUUGUAUAAAAAAAAUACAAGAGUACGAAAUAAAAUAUAAUAACUUUUUUGUCAUAAUCCUUUGCACUUACUUCUUCCUCCAAACCUUUGAAAAUGCAACCAAAAAGAAAGAAAAAAAACGAGCGUAUUUUUUAAUAUAUUGGAUUUACAGAUCAUUGAAAGACAAAUUAAGACAAAUGAAAAAUAAAUAGAUAAUACAAUUUCAUUGUGAAUUGGAUUUAUGGUACAAAUUUAAAAAACAUAUUUUACACCAAGCAAAAAAAAAUUAAUACAAUUUGUUUUGUGUAUUAGAUUUAAUGUAAAAAAAAAUAAGAAAAAAAAUUACUACACAAAUGAAUAAAAAAAUACUUCACUAUAGAAAGUGUAUUGGAUAUAAUUUAUAAGUAAAAAAAUAUUUAUACAGCAAACAUGAGCUCAACUCAACUGACACCUGUAUGUAUGUAUGGAUAUGAGGUCUUACAACUUAACUAAAAAAAUGAAUUUGAAUACAAUUUUUGGUUGUAAAAGCUUUAUGGUACGAACAACAUACAAAAGUUUACACAAAUGCAAAAAAUAUUAGCACAUUUUUCAUUUUAUAUUGGAGUCACAAAAAAAAAAAAAAACAAGAAUUUCAUACCCAUGAAAAAAAAAUAAUUUAGUUAUUUUCAUACAAUUUUUUUACACAAAUAAAAAAAGAAUACAUUUUUUUUUUAUCAUUAUCCUUCCCCAUGUAUAAUAAAUAAUCUCUCGUAAUCCUCCAACUUAUAAAUUUCCCCGAACAAUGAUUAUAAAUAAUCAUUUUCCUUUUCAUAAUCCUCAUUUUUCUUAUUCUUUUCCCUCCCAUUUUCCUUUCCUUCUCCCAAAAUACCCCCUAAUCUCACUAAGGGUGUGUUUUGGAGAAGGGUUGAGUUAUGGAAGGGUUAGGGCAAUGAUAAAACUAGUGUUAUGUUAAACUAGUUUUAUGAUAAGAGUGUGUUCGAGAGAGAAGGAUUAUGUGAGAAGGGUUACGAUAGUAUUAUGAUAAGAUGUGUUUGGGGGAAGGGUUAUGUGAGUAGGGUUUUGAUAGUAUUAUGAUAAGAUGUGUUUGGGGGAACAGUUAUGUGGGUAGUGUUAUGAUAGUAUUAUGAUAAGAUGUGUUUGGGGGAAGAGUUAUUUAGGUAGUGUUGUGAUAAGGUUAUGAUAAGAUGUGUUUGGGGAAAGUGUUAUGCUGAUAGUGAUGUGAUAAGAAUUAUUAUUUAAUUUAUGUAUAUAUGUACAUAUACAUGUAUAUUUGCACUCGUUAUAUCACUUUUACGUGUUGCGUCACAAUAGAUAUUCAAACGUAACAACUAAUAGACAACAUGUUCAAUAUGUACAUUACCAAUCCACAAAUUAAGUCAAUUACUUCAGUCGACGUCGGAUGAUUUGGUAAAAAAAAAAUUACACUUUCAAUAUUGAAUUUGUACAUAUAUUCAUAUAUGUACAUAUAAUAUUAUGUAUAUGUAUAUAUGUGUGUGUGUGUAUAUAUAUGUGUGCUGUAUUAAAUUAAGUCACAUUCAUUUUACUACAUGAAUAAUUUGAACAAAAAUCACAUGACUUGCAAUAUCAUUAGAAAAUAUAAAUGAAAAACAGUUAACAGGUAGAGUCAUAAAAAAAAAACCAUAAUAAUAGUCCAUGCAAGUAAAAUAAAAAAUCAACUAGUGCCUCGUACGAAUAACCAUGCAGAUAAUCAAGCUUCUCAUCGUCAAUUUGAGGAAACCCUUCAUGUCCGCUAAAUUGUUCAUCAGUAUUCAAUUGCAAUUGCGUCCUUUCCAGCCUAGAUGAGCUGAGGUAUGACACCUAGUGACUUGAGGUAUGGCACGCAAUGCGCGAACGACCUCUCUACAGACCCUGCUUUCAUCCUUGAGUGCAUGGUCACUAUGCAAUGAGCCCCAGCUGGUCGGUUUGGCAAGUCAUGGCAUUCUUAAUGACAUCAGCUUUUUUCGAAUUCUGCCCUCCCCGCUUUCGCCUUAAAGCCGCUCGAACACGUCCUACUAUCGCUUCCUUGACUAGGUCGUGCAAUGUCGUCGGGGGACAUCUUAAACCCAUGGCUGGACAUAGAAGGAAUUUUCAUAUCAUUGAGAUCCACGUGCGUAAAGUCCUCGACACCCAGGAGGAACAUUUGAUCUGACAUCGGCAAAUGUCUUCGCACGGGCUCCCAUUGCCUGAUCUUUUUUGAAUACAUAUUAAUAACUCGUCAUAAUAUAGGAAUGACUUAUUCAGCAAGCCCUUAGCUGCAGGGCGACUCUACAUAGGAAUGAAAAAUCAAAUAUUAGACUUGUCUCAUAUUGAAAUAAAAAUUAUAUUUCAUUACAAUUAUACUUUUCACAUACCCUGACCCAGUUUUCAAACAACUCCUUCUCAGCAAUGAUGCACUUCUCAUCGUCAUUUCAACUGAACCCGCUGCAUGAUGGACCGCGAAUUUAUGUGAUUGCCUAGUACGAGUGCUUCAAGGUCUUUAUGCAACAGUCAAUAACUGUGGUCGCAUGGACAUUGCAUCCUGGCAACUUCGUCGCCAUCAUUUGCAUAAGCAUAGUCAAAUCAUUUAUUAUGCAACUGCCAUUGAUUGAACAUCCUGACGGCCAAAUCAUCCCUCUACUGCAUCGAUUCGUUCGAGUUCUCAAUGAAUUGAAUGUCUUCACCUCCGAUCAUCGCGUAGGUGGAGUCUCCCUCGUCAACGUCGUCAACGACAUUAACAUUCAUCAUCUCACGUUUGAUGAGAUUGUGUAGUAGACAACAUGCUAGAAUAGUUCGACAUUGAAUUUGCACGGGAUAGUAGGACUCGCCACGAAGGAUUUGUUGGAAUUUUUUGUCCUAAAACUCGUAGUUUGUAAAUCAUAUUCUAUUCAAUAAAGUUGUUAUUGAGAAAUUAAAUAUUAUAAUCUUAAAUCCAAUAAAUCAAAGUUCCAAGGCUAUUUUUUGAAUAAACUUGAACUUUAUGUGUAAACAUAAACGUGGAUCAAGUUCGAGUAUAUAGCCUAAAUAGUCUAUAGUAUAUGAAAUAAAGGUUGGGCGCCUUAUUUUGAGAGACUAUGGAUGCGGCCCACUUUGUAGUACAAACGAUGUGAUCCUAAUCGUUCAUGUAGAGACAUGAAAGUGGGGGCAUCCUAUGUAAAAUGUUUACAUAAGACUGAACCAUGAAUUAGUCAUUUUUACGUUAUAACACCGUUUACUGUUUAAAACUGACUAUCUCAAUUAUUGAUGACCUAGGUAACUUAGUCUUAAUCCUGAGUUAACUAUGAACUCCUGUUCAUACGAGAUUAUCCUUAGAUCUGCAUAGGUGAGGGCAGCUCAUCAGCGUUGGCCCAAUAAGCCUCCCAUUUCAGGGGUAAGAUCGGGUGGAUAGCUGGGAACAUAGGGUACAAGAUGGAAUUCACUCCUACCCGCUUUAGGGUUAGUAGAUAGGUUGCUCUCUUAAGCACUGAAUCCAAGUCUUGAACAAGGGGCCCCACCCUCUCAUUGGCCCGAGAGGGAUUAAGUUUAUAGGUUGAACCUUAAACCAAUUGUUCAAUAGUGGAUUAGUGGGACUUAAGGAGCAAGAUGUAAUCUUGGGGGUAAAACGGUAUUUUGACCCAGCCAAGGUUACGAGCAACCUGUGAAGGAUUAACUUACUGAUUAUGGUUUUAUCAAAUGGACACAAAUAUAUCUAUAGUGAGGGGAGUGCAACUACGGGACUUUAGUGGAAUGACCCGUUAGUUAACGAAUGUUGAUUAACUCGGUUUAAAAGAGUUUAGCUAGUUAAUCUUGAAUCGUUGGAGCCCAUGAUCUAUAGGUCCAUUAGGUUCCUCUGCUAGCUCAUAUGGAUUAAACUUAGAACAGUGUGAUGAAAUAAGUCGAAUUGUUCGAAUAGGGAGAAGAAAGGAAAACCGACAUAUACAGUGAUAUAAUCGUCGGUCUUCUAAUUAGAAAUAGAGCUUUAUGUUUUACAUACUAUAAGUAUGAAUGCGGAUUCAUACUAAGAAGCUCGGAAUUGGUCAAAAAUAGUAAAAAGUCAAAAUGUUGACUUUUGACUUUGAAAAGUCAAACUUUGACCGGCCUUAUAUUCAAAUGUGAUUUGAAUUUUGGAAAAAUGAAUGCGGAUUCAUGCUCGGGAGGUUGGAAUUAGUCAAGACGGACAAAAUGGUAAAAAGUCAAAAUAUUGACUUUUGACUUAGAAAAGUCAAAGUUUGACUUUUGACUAGAAAAAUCUAAUGACCAUUUUACCCUUGGACUAAGUUAGUGGGAAAAUCCAACAUUUUGUUGGAUAAUCCCACUAACUCUUAGUGGGAUAUGUGGCUAUAUGAGAUAUAGACACCUAGCCCACUAAGUUCCACUAAUUGUUAGUGGAAUAUUAGGUGUUGAGAUUUGGCAAUUGAAUUGCAUGCAUUUUUGCAUGUAAUUAGGCUAUAAAUAGAGAUGUUUUCAAAUGUUGAAGGACUUUUGCCUCUUUUAUCAUUUUCAUAAUCUCAACAAAAGAAAAAAGAAAGCUUCCAAUCUCAUUUUAUCUCCAUUACUUUCUACACCAAAAUUGGGUCCCACAACCCGGUUCUUUGUCUAGAGGAUAGCAGUUGAGUACUAGUGGUGGUCUCGGAUAGAAUUGGUAAGAAGACAUCAAACCUUUUGAAAGCUUCAAAGGUAAUACUUCUUAAAACCCUAAUUUGAUUAGUUUAUGGUUACAUGUUAAUUGUGGCAAUUAGGGUAGAAAUUCGAUUCUUUUUCCGCUGUGCAUGACUUAGUUCUAUCACUAAUACACCCAUUGAUACACCUAAUACUUCUUGAUACACCUGAUACAUUUGAUUGAUACACUUGAUGCACCUGAUACUCUUUGAUACACUCGAUACCGAAACAUGCUAAUAUAUGUUUGAUACACCUGAUACAUUGCAUAUACAUUUAGUAUUAUCCACUUAUACAAUUGAUUGAUUAAAUGAACUUGAUAUGCUUGAAGUCCUACUUAUACACUUGAUAUGCUAUCGAUAUACACUUGUAAACUCGAUUCAUAUACUUGUUAAUGAUUCACUUUACUGAUAUGUUUUAACAAUAUAUUGUUGAUAUACUUGAUAAUGAUAUAUUGAAUUACAUCAUUCAUAUACUUAAUAAUACUCUAAUAAACUACAUAAAAUUUGAAAAAAUGAAAACCACGUAGUAAGUAUAUUAACCAACUAAUACAUAUAAUAUAAGUAUACUACAAUACUAUCAUACGAAACUGAGACAGAGUAAAACAAAAAAAUUAAUAUAAAAAAAUAAAAGAAAAUCAUUUGGAAUCAAAUUCAACUCAAAAUACACAUAAAGAAAGUAAAAAAAAAUCACAAAUAAAGUUAAAUUACUCCAAUCAACAACCAUUAUAUUAUAUUAUUCAUAUUAAAACUAAUGUACUAUUGAUAUUUUAAAAUUAAGAUGAAGACAGAAAGAAUAAAUAAUUUUUCUAGUAUAAGAAUAAACAAGUAAUUAGGGCCUUAAAAAGUGGGAGCAUAAAUAAAUAAUGAGUAGGACAUUAAAAAGAGGAAGAAAAAUAAGUUAUUGAAUGGUAGUUUAGAAAUAAUGUCAAAUUUAAGAUGAAGAAGUAAAAAUUUUACCAUAUUUGCAAAAUUCUAAAACAAUGUGCUAUAAUUGUUAUAUUAUAUUCUCAAAAUGUCAUCCUAUGCAAUUUUCCUAAAAAAUAACCCUCAACUAUUAAAAAGUUUUAAAAAAUAUAAUACCCUUAUGCUUCAAAAAAAAAAAAAAAAGUUAAAAGAUAAUCUCCAAAUUUUGCACCAAUUUAUAAAAUAAAAAUAAAAAUUUUAAAUUAAAACUAUAGUUUUAUUUUUAUCUGACUAUUAACCCAUAAUCAUAGAUCACAAACAUAACCCUUCUCAAUAGUUAUUGUUGUACCAUUGUCAAAUAACAAAAUGUAUAUGACUAUUAACAUAUAGUGAUAGUCUGAUAGAUCUCUCAACGUGAGAUGUUUUUUAUUUGACUAGUAAUUGUUUUAACGAGAAAACUUCGUGAAAUUUUGUAAAAUUGUAUGGUUUAAAUCAUGUUUAAGAUAUGAAUGUUGACUGAUAUAUUGAAGUCUUGAUAUUACAUAAAUUUUGAUUUCGAUAGAUAUUUUUGAAAAAUUAUUAUAAAAACAAUAAUUAAAAAAUAAUAAUUUUAAAUUAGUAAAUAAAUAUUUUAUUAUUUUCAAAUAAGUAAACAUGUCUAUUAUUUAUAUUUUAUAUUAGUGUUAUUUUUAUGUUUAUUUGUUGUGAUUUGUGCAUUUUUCUAUGGUGUAAUGGAAAUAUUGCUUCAUUACUAUCAAUAUCAAACACAUGAAAAUGUGAAAAUAUCGAUAGAAAUGCCUACAUAUGGAUGAAAAUUUAAAACUAUAGUUUUAACUUAAAGUUUUGAUUUUUAUUUUGAGGGAUAAGAAAUUUUGUUUAAAAAUUAGAUAAAUGAAAGUAUUUUUGAAUUUUUUAUAAGUUUAAGAGUGUUUAUGAAAAUUUUGAAUAGUUGGAGGAUACUUUUGAAACAAAAUUUUAAUAGUUUUCAUACAAAACUAACUUAUAGAACUUUUGAACCAUUUUUAAAAGUUUAAAAACAGAUUAAAAUUUCUUAAUUUUGUUUCUCUCCUACUCGUCGUCCUCCCAAGUUUCGUUGAAGGCUUCGCUCACAGCGUUGCCUCCGAAACAAAUGGGUAUCCCUUUUGAUUUUGUUGAACGACCGAGUUUUGCACUUUACCUCCGAAACUCAAUCGCUUGCAUGUUCACCACUCUUCUUGGUGAACAUGCAAUUCCGACUCAGUUUUCCCCUUCCACUUCCCCUUGCCGCUUGGACUCCCAUUUGCCGAUCGAGUAUUUUUUUCUCUCUGAUUUGGACACUUCCUACACUAUCGUUACUAUCAUCUUCUGCAAUUGGGAUGUUUGAGCAAGGUAGGGUUGGAGGUAAGUGGUUGGAUUUUGAGUUUCUAUCGAAGCUGAUGAUAAGGAUUACACUUAUGUAUUGUCUGAAUAAUUAUUUGUGAUUAAUUCUGUUUAUGUACUUGUCUGAAUAAUUAUUUGUAAUUGUUUUUGUUUUUUUCUUCAAUUUACUUCCAAUUUUUUCAUAUUCGGUCAUCCCUGUUUGAAACUGCAAUGUUGUUGUUUGUUUUUCAUGUUUCUGAUUAGUUUUGUUUGUUUAAAUUCAUAAUUAUUCGUAAUUACUUUUGUUUAUGUGCUUCUCUGAAAAAUUAUUUGAAGUAGUUUUGUUUCUUACUUCAAUUUACGUUCAUUUUUUUCAUUUUUGGGCAUCCUCUUUGAAACUACAAUGUUGUUUAUUUUCCAUGUUUUUGAUUAGUUUUGUUUCUUUGAAUUCAUAAUUAUUUGUAAUUACUUUUGUUUAUGUGCUUGUCUGGAAAAUUAUUCGUAAGUAGUUUUGUUUCUUACUUCAAUGUCCUUCCAUAUUUUUUCAUUUUUGGCCAUCCCCGUCUGAAACUACAAUGUUGUCCUUGUUUUUCAUGUUUUUGAUUAGUUUUGUUUGUUUGAAUUUCUUGUUGCUACGAUGUUUAGCAAUCUGAACACUGCAUUUUCAGGCAUGUUUUUUAAUUGGUGCCCUAAGAAAUAUGUUGUCAUAUUUAUUUCUUUUGACACUAAGAAAUAUGUUGUCAUAUUUAUUUCUUUUGACAUUUGACAUUUGAGUAACUAUGUUUACAGUUUCAGUUUACUUGCAAUUAAGAUGCCUUAUGAUGUUGAGUUGCUGUGAAGUCUGCUCUCUUUAUUUGCAAGCAACUGUCUGUUCUGUUUUAUUCUCUUUAUUUGUAAGCAAAUCUCAUCAAUCCAUAACAUUGCACUGUCUGUGUUCAAUCAUUUUCCUUGGUUAUGCAUUUGUCUAUUCAUAGCUUAUCUUUGUCUUAAUGUGGUAGGUUUUGACUAUGUCCUCCUCUUUUCUGUACACUUCUGUCAUUUAAAGAGGUUCCCUUCUUUUAUUUUUUUGGUAUGGGUCAAUAAAGGCAUACUUGACCAUCUAUCCCUCUAUAUAUAGCACUUCAUUUGUUGUAUUUUAUUAUGUGUUGUUUUCCUUGCUUCCUCCUCUGUUCUUUCUUCAUUUGGUAGGUAAAUUCAUUUUCUUUUAUUCUUUUGAAGUUCCAUUUGUCCUUCUUUUUUCUUUUGUCAUAUCUAUGUUAACAAGAAUGUGCAUGUCUGUCCUUACUGUUCAAUUCCGAUCUGUUAUGUUUAAGGCAUAUUAUGGGUCAUGAAUUUCUUCAUUAUUUGAAGGAUAUACCUUCUUAUACAUAAAACCUUAUCCACUGCCAUUUCAUACUUUUCAUGAUUUCUUUCAUGUCAUCUCAUGUUUACUAUCCAUAGCCAUUUUAAGGGAUGUUGAUGUUGAUGUUGAUGUUGUAUGAUUGUUUGAUAUAUAUUUUUUGUGUCGAUGUUGUAUGACUGUUUGAUUUUUAUGUGUUGAUGUUGUAUGCUUAUUUUGUUUGCAUUUACAACCCUAUAUAUACUUUGCUGCAUAAUUUGUAUUGAUGUUCUACUAAUAGAUUCAGUUCGUUACAUCGAACAGAUUCAACUCCUCUGAGGCACAACAUUUUUUAAAAAUAAAAUAAGAUUUUUCUCAUUCAUUUAAUGAAUCUUGUUUUUUCAUUUCAUCAUCGACAUUCCUCCAAAUAAUAGGGUAUGUAAGCGAUACACUUCAUCCUUAUAGUAUUUUUACUCGUACUUGUGUUAGACAGAAACACCGAUUUCCUUACUUUCUUUGCAGAAUAUUCGACUUCAUACUGUUGGAAUUUUUUUGUCCUAAAACUCGUAGUUUGUAAAUCACUAUUCUGUUCAAUAAAGUUGUUAUUGAGAAAUUAAAUAUUAUAAUCUUAAAUCCAAUAAAUCAAGUUCCAAGGCUAUUUUUUGAAUAAACUUGAACUUUAUGUGUAAACAUAAACGUGGAUCAAGUUCGAGUAUAUAGCCUAAAAUAGUCUAUAGUAUAUGAAAUAAAGGUUGGGCCCUUAUUUAGAGAAACUAUGGAUGCGGCCCACUUUGUAGUACAAACGACGUAUCGUUCAUGUAGAGACAUGAAAGUGGGGGCAUCCUAUGUAAAAUGUUUACAUAAGACUGAACCAUGAAUUAGUCUUUUUUACGUUAUAACACCGUUUACUGUUUAAAACUUGACUAUCUCAAUUAUUGAUGACCUAGGUAACUUAGUCUUAAUCCUGAGUUAACUAUAACUCCUGUUCACAUGAGAUUAUCCUUAGAUCUGCAUAGGUGAGGGCAGCUCAUCAAGCGUUGGCCCAAUAAGCCUCCCAUUUCAGGGUAAGAUCGGGUGGAUAGCUGGGAACAUAGGGUACAAGAUGGAAUUCACUCCUACCCGCUUUAGGGUUAGUAGAUAGGUUGCUCUCUUAAGCACUGAAUCCAAGUCUUGAACAAGGGGCCCCACCCUCUCAUUGGCCCGAGAGGGAUUAAGUUUAUAGGUUGAACCUUAAACCAAUUGUUCAAUAGUGGAUUAGUGGGACUUAAGGAGCAAGAUGUAAUCUUGGGGGUAAAACGGUAUUUUGACCCAGCCAAGGUUACGAGCAACCUGUGAAGGAUUAACUUACUGAUUAUGGUUUUAUCAAAUGGACACAAAUAUAUCUAUAGUGAGGGGAGUGCAACUACGGGACUUUAGUGGAAUGACCCGUUAGUUAACGAAUGUUGAUUAACUCGGUUUAAAAGAGUUUAGCUAGUUAAUCUUGAAUCGUUGGAGCCCAUGAUCUAUAGGUCCAUUAGGUUCCUCUGCUAGCUCAUAUGGAUUAAACUUAGAACAGUGUGAUGAAAUAAGUCGAAUUGUUCGAAUUGGGAGAAGAAAGGGAAACCGACAUAUACAGUGAUAUAGUCGUCGAUCUUCUAAUUAGAAAUAGAGCUUUAUGUUUUACAUACUAUAAGUAUGAAUGCGGAUUCAUACUAAGAAGCUCGGAAUUGGUCAAAAAUAGUAAAAAGUCAAAAUGUUGACUUUUGACUUUGAAAAAGUCAAACUUUGACCGGCCUUAUAUUCAAAUGUGAUUUGAAUUUUGGAAAAAUGAAUGCGGAUUCAUGCUCGGGAGGUUGGAAUUAGUCAAGACGGACAAAAUGGUAAAAAGUCAAAAUGAUUGACUUUUGACUUUUGACUAGAAAUAUCUAAUGACCAUUUUACCCUUGGACUAAGUUAGUGGGAAAAUCCAACAUUUUGUUGGAUAAUCCCACUAACUCUUAGUGGGAUAUGUGGCUAUAUGAGAUAUAGACACCUAGCCCACUAAGUUCCACUAAUUGUUAGUGGAAUAUUAGGUGUUGAGAUUUGGCAAUUGAAUUGCAUGCAUUUUUGCAUGUAAUUAGGCUAUAAAUAGAGAUGUUUUCAAAUGUUGAAGGACUUUUGCCUCUUUUAUCAUUUUCAUCAUCUCAACAAAAGAAAAAAGAAAGCUUCCAAUCUCAUUUUAUCUCCAUUAUUUUCUACACCAAAAUUGGGUCCCACAUCCCGGUUCUUUGUCUAGAGGAUAGCAGUUGAGUACUAGUGGUGGUCUCGGGUAGAAUUGGUAAGAAGACAUCAAACCUUUUGAAAGCUUCAAAGGUAAUACUUCUUAAAACCCUAAUUUGAUUAGUUUAUGGUUACAUGUUAAUUGUGGCAAUUAGGGUAGAAAUUCGAUUCUUUUUCCGCUGUGCAUGACUUAGUUCUAUCAUGUGGUAUCAGAGCAUGCUUCAUUUUUACCCAAUUGCAUGUGGUGGGUUCAUAUUUAUUAGAUAAAUUUUGGUUUGAACUAAAAUGGAUAUAUUAUGAUUUUGGCUCUAGAUUAAGUGUUUUUGUUCUAAUUAUUGUAAUUAGCCUUGUUGAUGGCUUAUUUUUAUUGUUGCAAAGUGUUUGUAAUUUUUAAAAAAAUAAAAAAAGUCAUUAGAGUUGAAGCUAGGCUGUAAUUGGUUCAACCGAGUGAGAGAAUUGAAAAAAAAUGAAGAAAAGAAGGUCACAGACCCGAAAACCCGCCUUGACCCGCUUCGCGACCCGCACGCGCCUGCGCGCCCUCCUGCGCCCGCGCGCCCGCCUUCGCUCGCGCGCCUGCCUUCGCACGACCCGUGUGCGCCUGGGCCAGUUCAAGCCAAUAAAUUUGGUUUUUGGGCCGGUUCAAGCGGUUUCGGUUGGUUUUUUAGCCGGUUCGAAGUUUUUGGGAGUGGUUCUGUACUACACCAAAUUAAUUAUGUAAUAAUUUAGCACUUAGCUUAAUUUAGGAGCCAAAAAUCAGUCCAUUUUAGGGUGUUCUUUUUUAUUUAUGCAUGUGAUGUAUGAUUAAAUUACUUUAAAUUUGUAUGUGCAUUUUGAAUGUCAUAUAGCACUAGUACAAAAGUGGGCUACGACGACAGUUAUUUACUGUCGCGAACGGAUUUCGUGACAGUUAUUUUCAGUCAUAGAGCGGGAGUCAUGGAAAGGCCUUCGACGACAGUUUUUGAAAACUGUCGCAAUAGGUUGUUUUAUGACAUGAAAUAAAUGUCGUUAAUCAACAUUCAACGACAUUCAAUAACUGUCAUAAUUUAUUUUAUAACAUUCAAUAACUAUCAUCAUUUCUUUAUUAACGACAGUUAAAUAAUUGUCACGAAUUCUAUUAUCGUGACAUGUAUUAAUUGUCAUGAAUAUGUUUUUCGCGACAGUUUUUUUUGUAAAAAUGUCAUUGUUUAGUUAUUGACGACAUUUUUUUCCAGUCAACGAUUGUGCAAUCGUGACAGUUUUUCGAUAACAUUAAAUGUCAUUGUUUUGCCAUUGACGACAUUUUUUCCCAUUCAAUAAUAUAAUGCAAUCGUGACAGUUUUUUUUUUAAAAAAAUUGUCAUUGUUUAUCUUAUGACGACAUGUUAUUCCUGUCACAUAUAGAGCAAUCGUGACAAUUUAUUUUGUUAAAUAACUGUCAUCGUUCUCCAAUUUACAACAACUAUUAACUAUCACAUUUCUCAAUUUCCUAUAGUUUUAUUUUGUUCUCCAUGCAGCUCCACCAUUACACGAACCAUUAGAAUGACAAUAAUGUAGCUGAGAAUGACAAAUUUGAAAUUAUACAAGUUUCACACCAAUGUACAAGAAAAUAGCCAACACUUUAAUAUAUAUACACUAUAAUACGAUUUAUAAUAUUUGUACAUCUUAAUACAAGUUUCAGUAAUCCACAUGUACGAAAUACUAACCCUUAAUCAAAAAAUAUCUUAAAUAACAUUCGAAUAUAUUUGACUGGACCAACCGAGAAUGUUCGUUUCUGGAAAUGAUAUUUGAAACAAAACUCAUGAACUUGUCGACUCCAGUUGAACUCUACAAAGAAUCCAUAACACAUACGUACAGUCAAUGAAUAUACUAAAUCAACGUCUCAACAAAAUACAGAACACAAACAAGAACUUCAACACUUGAUUCCAUGAAAUGAAAAGAGAAGACCAUGAGGACUAUAUUAGGCAAACACAGCAAACAAAAACAUACUGCUACUCUUUCUCUCUAGAAUACACAUACCAAAAACAUACCCAGCUCACUCUUUCUCUCUAGAAUACACAGUCCACAAUCAAUAUUGAAUACGUCAAUAUAAUAAAUAGUACAAUGGGUUUUAGGUGUAUAGAUAGUAUGCUUAUCAUACUAACUGCUAAAAAUGUGCACAGGUUAGAAGAAUCCUAAAAGAACCCACAACUAAAACAGAACACACACAACUGAAACUCACCUGAAAAUCGCUCUAAUCUGUCGCCAAAAACAACACUCUCAAUAUCUCAAUCUAGCUGUUUAAGACACAAAAAAGAGAAUGUUGGAGAGUGGUCUCCAGAGGAUUAAAAAUCAUUUUUGACUAGUACAAAUCAUUUUAUAAGAACCCAAAAGCAGAUAAUCAUCCAAAAUCAAUUGAUCAUACGAGAACAAUAUAUCAACAUUCAUAACUAGUUGAACAAACCUUAGCUUUAUGAACCAACGACCUUUGUUUUCAUCUUUCAUGUUGACCAUAGAAGUCAAAACUUCUGUUUUAUAACAAAACUAAAACAAAUAGGACACCAAAAGUGCCCAAAACAAAAUCAAAAGGUCAAAUGCCAAAUAAUAUUUAAAAGAAGGAAAAUGAUAGCAAAUAGCACAAUUUAGGUAAUAAACAAAAAAACAAAGGAAAAAUCAAUAUCAAAAUAGGGACGAACAAUAGAGAGAUAUGAAUCAACAACUUGGGUAUGAAGCAACAAAGUAAAUAUUAAACAUAUCAAUAAAAACUCAUAAGAGUAACAUUAAACAUAACAAUAUAACUCGUUGUAAAAAGACCCUCAUAAUUGUUGUGUAAAUAUAAUCACUUACUUGGUAGCUUCAACACUAUAGUAGAUCAUAUUCAUGCAAAACCUAAUAAAAACGCAAAAGUUACAUUUUGUAAACUACAAUAGAGAGUUUUGAACUACAAUACCAUACAACAAAUGUCAAAGAAAAUAAAAAACUUUGCAUUUAGAGUUUUGAACUACAGUAGAAACUAAUAUUAACUAUUUGAGAAUAAGAACAUAUCAUCUAUCAAAAACUUAGGUCCAUAGUUUGGGAUAUCAAACGUUCUUACAAUAUAAAAUACUUUCCAUUGAUAACUAUUUGGUUUUUUGUUUUUGUUUUAGAACCAUGAAAAAACAGUUUUUGUUUUGAACUUUUUUUUUAUUUAGCUAAAAGUUUAACUUUUGUACUUUAGAAAGAUGUAAAUCGUUAGGUUAAUUUUUAAAAACCUAAAAACAAACUAGCUACUAAACCGAAGCUUAAAUUGAACUACUUGAAACUUUUAUUCUGCACCUUACAAAAUUUCAUAAAGAGAAGAAUAUUAUUUCAUCAUUCAAUACAACUUCAGCAUGUCUCCUCACCAAAGUAAUCCACUAGAAAACAUGGCAAAAAUUAAUCAACACGUUUUAAAGAUUAAAGAUAAAUAUGUUAUUUUACAAGUAAACAAAGAGGUUAAACCUGGAAAAGAAGAUUAGAGAAAUGGAAGAAAAGGGUUUAAGACCCAUUGCAUUUGCUUGUCAACAUACAAACGAUCAAACAGCGUUUGAAGGAGAGUUAAAGCUGCUUGCAUAUCUAGGUCUUAAGAUCUCACAUAAAAAAAAUGCUACAUGAGUUGAAGAUAUUGAAAAUCUUGGUACAAGAAUCAUAUUAGCAUGCAUCAGAAGAUAAGUUUUCUAUGAUCAUAAACAUGGCCGAUGAUGUUUAUCAAUGAUGAUCUUCUAAGAAAAUAACAAAUUUCUAAAAUUGAAGGACAACAAACAUAAAAAAUGAAGGACAAUAGAGAAUAACCAUACAUAUUCUCACAUAGAUUUUUCGCUACAAAAUACACACAUUUGCAAUAUGCUAUCAAAAUCCAAACGGUGCAAGGCUACCUCAAUGAUUAUCACUAAAUCCAAAUUAUGCAAUCAAAAUCAAAGGAUACUGCAUUUGCAUUUUUUCAAAGUUCUAACACCGUCCAUAUUUUUUUAGAGUAAAGUUUAACACCAGUAACCAAAAAUAAGAGAGAAAGAAUAUACAGGGGCAAGAUGAAAACCAAAACAAGCCAAAAACAAGACGACCUUUACACUCAAUUACAGAGGAGGAGCAUGGAAAUCCAAAUACUUACGUUUUAUUGUCCACAAUAAUAUAGGUAAAUGGUGAAUGCCUCUUCACAAACCUGAGAAAACAUAGAAAAUCACAAAUGUGGUAACUCAUAGGAAUCAUUAAACACCCAUUACAAAAAAAAAAAAAAGCAAAUAUUCUUUCAGAGUAAAUAGUAGAAAAAAGACAAAAUAUUUAUGGCAACACAUCAGAAAUUUUUAGCACAAUAAAUAUGAGUGUGACUUUAAACUUCUUGCCAAAGAAUAGGUGCAAAAUAUAUAUUUCACUGAAAAGAAGAAAUAAACGAUAAUUAAAUAAUUUACAAGUGUAGGUGACCAUUUUCAUAAUUCAACAACUGUUAAUUAAGAUACAAACCAAAUAGAGGUUUGAAAAGUGGAAAGUUCUCAAUGUUAUUCAAAAUGUCAAAAUUAACAUAUCAGUGUGGAACAUCAAAGCCACAUCACAAUAUUUCAUGCAGACACUGAUGCAAUUGAAUGAAAAGUAAAUUUCACUUCAACUAGUAAAUACAAUUAACGCAGAAUUUUACCUAAAGAAAUUUAAGUUUAUGUCUAUCUUUUGAUGUUUCAUUUCAUCAGAGCCUCCAAUUCCAUUACACUUUUUAAUACCAUACACUUGAAAGGCAGUUUGAUAAACAUUUGUAGUUUUGUUCAUUCCACUUCAAAAAACUGAAACAAACAUAGGAAGUAGAACUUCGUUGAGAUCAUUAUUUAAACAAUGGUUUCUUCUUCUAGAAAAAUAUGUUUAAUUCUUCAACCAUUACAAGCAUCAAAUGCAUUCAUGAAUUGACAGUGACAUCAAACUAAUAUGGUAAAAAAAUAAACAAUAAUAUUAUAAUAAACUUUAUCCAUCUUAAUCGGAAGACCUCUCUUUCUACUACUAUCCAAUUUCAAUGAGAAAUUAUAAACUACAAACUAUAAAAUUGUCAGUUCUGAAACUCCAACGCAGAAAGAAAAGAACGAAGAUAGAGAAGGCAAUAUGUGGUUUACCUUGGAGAAUGGCACCCCCAAAAAUCAGUUCCAAAAUAAAGUGAAGAAUAGUAUAUAUAGCACCGGUACUCACAGUAAGGGCGUAAAUUGCGUAUCUUCUAACAUUAUCCCAAAAUUCCUCAACCAAAGGGCCUUCAGGGCCCAAAGCCAAAGCCCCUUCGCGUUGCAACCAAUCAAAAACAGGCACCACCCAUCGGGACGGCUUGAUUGUCUUGAUUUCCCUCUUGAGGUUGCUUCGAUUGUCUUGAAAUUCGAUGGGUGAGGGUUUUUUCAGGGGAAAUUGAAUGAAGAGGAAAACAGAAUGUGGAUCGACGACUGGCGGUUGUGAGCGGCGAACGUGGCGGUUACUGGUUCACACGGCGACUCGGGCUUCGACGAAGACAGAACCGGUGAUGGAGACGGCAGAUCGGCGCGCGGAACGACUGCUGCAAGGUUGCUUGGCGAUCCAGAGAUGGAGACGGCAGAUCGCGGGCUACGGCGGGAAGAAAACGGAAGAGAAAGACGGCUGGCUGCGGCUGGGCUGCGGCGGGAAGGAAACGGAAGGGAAGGGAGAAGGAGACGGUGGAGUCGUCGCGACGUACGGGAGGAAGGAGAAGAGGCGCGGCGGUUGCAGCUGGGGAGAAGGGGAAGGACGCACGGGGAGGAAGAAGGAAAUAGGGAAAAGAAAGAAAAAGGAAAAAGAAAAGAAAAGGAAAAAAGAAAAAAAAUUUAACCCUAACAUUCUAUGACAGUUAAUAACUGUUGCGAAAAGUGUUUUCCGAAAAAUUCCGUCUUUUCCCGCCAAAAACGCGAAAUUUUAUAUUUCGUGACAGUUUUUUUUUCUUCCAUUCAUUUUUUGAGAUAUAUAACUGUCAUUGUAGGGUAGUUUUCUUCUAGUGUAGAUUUAAAAUCCCACCAUAGGUUAACAUGUUCAUGCAUUAAAAUGUAUGAUAUAAAAGUUAUAUUGUAUUGUAUGCAUGUUAAUUGAUUAAUAUGGAAAUUAAUUAAUAUGAUUAAUUAAUUAUUUAAUAAAUUAAGUUAUUCUUGAUUAAAUAUGAUUUAAUCAAAUUAAUUAAUUAUUGUUUGAUUUAAUUUAAUUAAAUAUGAUUUAGUUAAAGUUAAAUAAUUAAAAUCCAUAUUAAUUGAUUGUUUUAUAAGAUUAUAUAUUGAUAAAAUGAUUGAUUAAGUCUAGAAGUUUUUAUAAGUGUUAUAAAAUAAAUUAGACUUUUAAAAUCAAUAACAAAGAUUAAAUGCAUGCUCACUUAGGUUAAAUAUAUCUUCCAUUUUUCAUAGAAAUAGGUCGAUAUCUUGUAAAACUGGUUACAAAAGGCUCACCUGGUUCAAUCUUGUCAACCAGUCAGAUAAGAUGACUAAGGUUGGAGGUUCUUAAGUUGACGGUUUACGGAACACCUCCUACCUGGAGAUCGUAAUCAGUUCUUGAGCCUAGUUAACCUAGUUUUAUGAGCAUUCGUGAGAGGUGUGAGGUAAUAAAAAUGGUUUUUCACCUAGACAUCAUAGGUUAAAAUCCUGUAUAAUGGUUAUACUUGGAUGUUUUAUCUAGACUUAAGAUUUGUUUAAGUUAGCCUAAAUAUAAAUCUUGAAGCUUGGAUUACCCUAUUUUUUCUCUAGAACACUUCAACUAGAGAAAAAUAAUGUAUUUUAGCUCUAGUGUCCCUAAGAGUUCACACCGUGAGGUCCAUGCAGGGCUUUGUGCCGUGCAUAGGAGCGGCCUCCCUUCGGAGAGUGUUUGCAUGGAUCAAAAUCAAGGUGAAUAGGGGAAGUAGUUCAUAGUACAGGUGAGGGAUUUGUGGCAGCACAUCCCACGGUCUCUUCUAUUAGGUCGCACCGUGAGAUUUCUAUAAUAUGCCUGCUUGUCUGCCGUGGAGCGACGUUCCCUUCGGAGGGUUGUAUUAUAGGAUUCGGAACACCGCGAACUCCAAAACUGGAUAGGAUUUCUUAGAUUAGUUUUCAGAAAUGAUUCUAAUCUAUAAAAUCUGAAAAUGGUGGGUAACACUUACAAGAAUUACUAAGUUGUUAGUAUAUUCUUGACUAAAGUAGCGAUAACUAAGUGCUAUAAAGAAUAAAGAGUUAUUCUUGAGAUAGCAUCUAGUCAAGAUUGUCUUGGUUCAAAGGAGGAAUAAUCAACUACCCUUCGGAGAAGGUUGUUCUAAACCUUUGAAAUAUUGUUGCAAAAUACAAAUAAUGAAAGGGUACAUUAUUAGUAAUUGCUAAAUUAGAUUGGAUAUUUUUUAUGAUUAUAGUUUUUUCCUAAAAAGAAUAUGUUUGUUUUUCAGCAUGAAUAGCUCAAUAGUUCAACUUUUAGCUUCCGAAAAACUUAAUGGCGAUAAUUAUGCGGCUUGGAAAUCAAAUCUUAACACAAUACUAGUGGUUGACGAUUUAAGAUUUGUCUUAACUGAGGAAUGUCCUCAAAACCCUGCCUCUAAUGCUAACCGAACUAGUCGGGAUGCAUAUGAUCGAUGGAUAAAAGCUAAUGAAAAAGCCCGUGUUUACAUUCUUGCCAGCAUGUCUGAUGUAUUGGCAAAGAAACAUGAAUCCUUAGCCACGGCUAAAGAGAUUAUGGAUUCAUUAAGGGGAAUGUUUGGGCAACCAGAAUGGUCCUUAAGACACGAGGCAGUCAAAUACAUUUACACUAAGCGUAUGAAGGAAGGGACCUCUGUUAGAGAACAUGUUCUGGACAUGAUGAUGCACUUCAACAUCGCUGAAGUGAAUGGUGGUCCCAUCGAAGAGGUUAAUCAAGUUAGUUUUAUCUUAGAGUCUCUUCCGAAGAGCUUCAUUCCAUUCCAAACGAAUGCGUCUUUGAACAAGAUAGAAUUUAACUUGACAACCCUUCUGAAUGAACUCCAGCGAUUCCAAAACCUAACUAUGGGUAAAGGAAAACAAGUGGAAGCAAAUGUUGCUACCACAAAAAGAAAAUUUAUAAGAGGAUCGUCCUCUAAAACCAAAGCUGGACCCUCAAAACCUAAUGCUCAAAUAAAAAAGAAGGGAAAGGGAAAGACUCCCAAACAGAACAAGGGUAAGAAAGCUGCAGAAAAAGGUAAGUGUUACCAUUGUGGCCAAAACGGGCACUGGUUAAGAAACUGCCCAAAAUACCUUGCAGAAAAAAAGGCAGAGAAGGAAACACAAGGUAAAUAUGAUUUACUAGUUGUAGAAACAUGUUUAGUGGAAUAUGAAAAUUCUACCUGGAUACUAGAUUCAGGAGCCACUAACCAUAUUUGCUUCUCAUUUCAGGAAAAUAGUUCUUGGAAAAAGCUUUCAGAAGGUGAGAUCACUCUCAAGGUUGGAACAGGAGAGAUGGUCUCAGCUUCAGCAGUGGGAGUUUUAAAGUUGUUUUUUAGAGAUAGAUAUGUCAUACUUAAGAAUGUCUUAUAUGUACCUCAAAUGAAAAGAAAUUUAAUAUCUAUCUCUUGUAUUUUGGAACAAAUGUAUAGAAUAUCUUUUGAAAUUAAUGAAGCGUUCGUUUUCUAUAAAGGUAUUCUAGUUUGUUCUGCUAUACUUGAAGACAACUUAUAUAAGUUAAGACCAACUAGAGCAAAUUUUGUCUUAAAUACUGAAAUAUUCAGAACAGCUGAAAACUCAGAAUAAAAGACAAAAAGUUUCUUCUAAUGCCUAUUUAUGGCACUUAAGACUUGGUCACAUAAAUCUCAAUAGGAUUGGGAGAUUGGUUAAAAGUGGGCUUCUAAGUCCGUUAGAAGAUAACUCUUUACCUCCUUGUGAAUCUUGUCUUGAAGGAAAAAUGACCAAGAGAUCUUUUACUGGAAAAGGUCUAAGAGCCAAAGGACCCUUAGAGCUCGUACAUUCGGACCUUUGUGGACCAAUGAAUGUCAAAACUCGAGGUGGAUAUGAAUAUUUCAUUAGCUUCAUUGAUGAUUAUUCAAGGUAUGGUCAUAUUUACCUAAUACAUCAUAAGUCUAAUAGUCUUGAAAAGUUCAAAGAAUAUAAGGCUGAAGUAGAAAACGAAUUAGGUAAAACAAUAAAAAUACUUCGAUCAGAUCGAGGUGGAGAGUAUAUGGACUUACGAUUCCGAGACUAUUUAAUAGAAAAUGGAAUCCAGUCACAACUCUCUGCACCUAGUACACCUCAACAGAACGGUGUAUCAGAAAGAAGAAACUGGACCUUGUUAGACAUGGUUCGCUCUAUGAUGAGUUUUUCUCAGAUGUCAGAUUCUUUUUGGGGAUAUGCUUUAGAAACAGCUGCUUAUAUUUUGAAUAAUGUUCCCUCUAAAAGUGUUUCAGAAACACCUUAUGAGCUAUGGAAAGGGCGUAAAGGCAGUUUACGUCAUUUUAAAAUUUGGGGUUGUCCAGCACAUGUGUUGGUACAAAAUCCAAAGAAAUUGGAACAUCGUUCAAAAUUAUGCUUUUUUAUAGGUUAUCCAAAAGAAUCAAGAGGUGGUUUGUUUUAUGAUCCUCAAGAAAAUAAAAUACCACAUCAGGGAUCAUCAACCUCGUAGUAAACUAGUAUUUAAAGAAAUUUCCAAAAGUGCUAUAGAUAAAACCUAGUUCAUCCACUAAAGUAGUUGAUAAGACUAGGAAAUCUGGUCAAUCACAUCCUUCUCAACAGUUGAGAGAGCCUCGACGUAGUGGGAGGGUUGUUCAUCAGCCUGAUCGCUAUUUGGGUUUAAUUGAAACUCAAGUCGUCAUAUGGCAUAGAGGAUCCAUUAACCUAUGCAAUGAAAGAUGUAGAUCGUGACCAAUGGAUCAAAGCCAUGGACCUCGAAAUGGAGUCUAUGUACUUUAAUUCUUUCUAGACUCUAGUAGAUCAACCAAAUGACGUAAAACCUAUUGGUUGUAAAUGGAUCUACAAGAGAAAACGAGACCAUGCCGGUAAAGUACAGACUUUUAAGGCUCGACUUGUGGCAAAGGGUUAUACCUAGAGAGAGGGAGUAGACUAGAGGAAACUUUCUCUCCCGUUGCCAUGUUAAAGUCAAUUAGAAUACUCUUAUCCAUCGCCACUUUUUAUGAUUAUGAAAUUUGGCAGAUGGAUGUCAAGACAGCUUUUUUGAACGGUAAUCUUGAAGAGAGCAUCUAUAUGUCUCAACCAGAGGGGUUUAUAAAACAAGAUCAAGAACAAAAGGUUUGUAAGCUUAAAAAAUCCAUUUAUGGAUUAAAACAAGCUUCUAGAUCCUGGAAUAUAAGAUUUGAUAUUGCGAUCAAAAUCUUAUGGCUUUGAACAAAAUGUUGACGAGCCUUGUGUUUACAAAAGGUCGUCAAUUCCAUUAUAGCAUUUUUUAGUCUUAUAUGUAGAUGAUAUUCUACUUAUUGGAAAUGACUAGGAUAUCUUCCUGAUAUCAAGAAAUGGCUAGCUAUGCAAUUUCAAAUGAAAGAUCUGGGAGAUGCACAAUACGUUCUCGGAAUCCAAAUUGUUCGAAACCGUAAGAACAAAACACUAGCCAUGUCUCAAGCAUCUUACAUAGACAAAAUGUUGUCUAGAUAUAAAAUGCAGAAUUCCAAAAAGGGUCUGCUGCCGUACAGAUAUGGAAUUCAUUUGUCAAAGGAACAAUGUCCUAAGACACCUCAAGAAGUUGAGGAUAUGAGAAAUAUUCCCUAUGCUUCCGCUGUUGGAAGUUUAAUGUAUGCAAUGUUAUGUACUAGACCUGACAUUUGCUACUCAGUAGGGAUGGUCAGUAGGUAUCAAUCCAAUCAUGGACGUGAUCACUGGACAGCCGUUAAAAACAUUCUACAUGCUCAUGUAUCGUACAAAGGAUCUGAUCCUUACUGGAUACACUGAUUCAGAUUUCCAAACUAAUAAAGAUGUUAGAAAGUCUACAUCAGAAUCAGUAUUUACUCUAAAUGGAGGAGCAGUAGUUUGGAGAAGCAUAAAGCAAACUUGUAUAGCUGAUUCCACAAUGGAAGCUGAUCAUUUUACAAAAGCCCUCAUGGCUAAAGUGUUUGAGGGUCACCUACACAGUUUAGGUGUACGAUGUUUGUAAACUAGGACAAGUGGGAGACUUAUUGGCCAUGUGCCCUAGUUUCAUAUAUAUUCUCUCACACCACAUCUCUCAUACCACUAGGAAUUUUAGUCCAAGUGGGAGUUUGUUGGAAUUUUUUGUCCUAAAACUCGUAGUUUGUAAAUCAUAUUCUAUUCAAUAAAGUUGUUAUUGAGAAAUUAAAUAUUAUAAUCUUAAAUCCAAUAAAUCAAAGUUCCAAGGCUUUUUUUGAAUAAACUUGAACUUUAUGUGUAAACAUAAACGUGGAUCAAGUUCGAGUAUAUAGCCUAAAUAGUCUAUAGUAUAUGAAAUAAAGGUUGGGCGCCUUAUUUUGAGAGACUAUGGAUGCGGCCCACUUUGUAGUACAAACGAUGUGAUCCUAAUCGUUCAUGUAGAGACAUGAAAGUGGGGGCAUCCUAUGUAAAAUGUUUACAUAAGACUGAACCAUGAAUUAGUCAUUUUUACGUUAUAACACCGUUUACUGUUUAAAACUGACUAUCUCAAUUAUUGAUGACCUAGGUAACUUAGUCUUAAUCCUGAGUUAACUAUGAACUCCUGUUCAUACGAGAUUAUCCUUAGAUCUGCAUAGGUGAGGGCAGCUCAUCAGCGUUGGCCCAAUAAGCCUCCCAUUUCAGGGGUAAGAUCGGGUGGAUAGCUGGGAACAUAGGGUACAAGAUGGAAUUCACUCCUACCCGCUUUAGGGUUAGUAGAUAGGUUGCUCUCUUAAGCACUGAAUCCAAGUCUUGAACAAGGGGCCCCACCCUCUCAUUGGCCCGAGAGGGAUUAAGUUUAUAGGUUGAACCUUAAACCAAUUGUUCAAUAGUGGAUUAGUGGGACUUAAGGAGCAAGAUGUAAUCUUGGGGGUAAAACGGUAUUUUGACCCAGCCAAGGUUACGAGCAACCUGUGAAGGAUUAACUUACUGAUUAUGGUUUUAUCAAAUGGACACAAAUAUAUCUAUAGUGAGGGGAGUGCAACUACGGGACUUUAGUGGAAUGACCCGUUAGUUAACGAAUGUUGAUUAACUCGGUUUAAAAGAGUUUAGCUAGUUAAUCUUGAAUCGUUGGAGCCCAUGAUCUAUAGGUCCAUUAGGUUCCUCUGCUAGCUCAUAUGGAUUAAACUUAGAACAGUGUGAUGAAAUAAGUCGAAUUGUUCGAAUAGGGAGAAGAAAGGAAAACCGACAUAUACAGUGAUAUAAUCGUCGGUCUUCUAAUUAGAAAUAGAGCUUUAUGUUUUACAUACUAUAAGUAUGAAUGCGGAUUCAUACUAAGAAGCUCGGAAUUGGUCAAAAAUAGUAAAAAGUCAAAAUGUUGACUUUUGACUUUGAAAAGUCAAACUUUGACCGGCCUUAUAUUCAAAUGUGAUUUGAAUUUUGGAAAAAUGAAUGCGGAUUCAUGCUCGGGAGGUUGGAAUUAGUCAAGACGGACAAAAUGGUAAAAAGUCAAAAUAUUGACUUUUGACUUAGAAAAGUCAAAGUUUGACUUUUGACUAGAAAAAUCUAAUGACCAUUUUACCCUUGGACUAAGUUAGUGGGAAAAUCCAACAUUUUGUUGGAUAAUCCCACUAACUCUUAGUGGGAUAUGUGGCUAUAUGAGAUAUAGACACCUAGCCCACUAAGUUCCACUAAUUGUUAGUGGAAUAUUAGGUGUUGAGAUUUGGCAAUUGAAUUGCAUGCAUUUUUGCAUGUAAUUAGGCUAUAAAUAGAGAUGUUUUCAAAUGUUGAAGGACUUUUGCCUCUUUUAUCAUUUUCAUAAUCUCAACAAAAGAAAAAAGAAAGCUUCCAAUCUCAUUUUAUCUCCAUUACUUUCUACACCAAAAUUGGGUCCCACAACCCGGUUCUUUGUCUAGAGGAUAGCAGUUGAGUACUAGUGGUGGUCUCGGGUAGAAUUGGUAAGAAGACAUCAAACCUUUUGAAAGCUUCAAAGGUAAUACUUCUUAAAACCCUAAUUUGAUUAGUUUAUGGUUACAUGUUAAUUGUGGCAAUUAGGGUAGAAAUUCGAUUCUUUUUCCGCUGUGCAUGACUUAGUUCUAUCAAUACAAUCCUAAGCUAGUUACAUAAAUGUUAUUAGAAUGAAAUUGUCAAUUCAAUAAAUGAUUCUAACUUAGCUUCUGUUAUCUUGCAAUCUAAAACUAACAAUUAUGUAUUAGAUUUAGAUCUAUAACAAUUAAUUAAACAUGCUUGGCAAAUCGCCAGCAUUUCCAAACACACUCAAUCAAAGAAAUAAGUCCAAAGAAAGAAUUCACACUAGAUCAUAAGGUUCCCAAGAUCAAAAUAUUCAAAACAUCAGAAGUGUGUGAAUCAAAAGAUAAGCCUAGAAUCUCAAGAUAGAUAAUAGUAUCUUAGGCAUGAUACAUCCUUGAAAACAUCCAACAAAAAUGAAUGAAAGUCGGCUCGAGUCAAUUCGUCUAAAAGAAUAAAAAGAGUUCGAGAGAAAAUGCCUAAAAUUCAAAUUCAGUGCCAAAAAUGUGUAAGAAUUGUUGGCAACUAGGGUAGUAAUGCUACUUUCAAAAAACUCUAUAGCAUCGCAGCACUACACAACAAAGUCAUAGAGCGUUGAGGUUUUUGCAUGAAAUUGGAUUAUUCUACCUUACGAUGUCGUGCCUUCUUUGCUCCACAUCAAUUUUCUUGUCCCGUUGACAUUCUAAACCUCUAAUUAAUCUCGUUAGGAUAAAAGAUCAUUCAUAAUUUUCUUAUCAAUGAACAACAUUAUUGUGAAAAGAUAUAUCGGUGAUAUAUCGAUUUUUAGGGAAAAAAAAAAGAAAAUAUCUUGUCACUUAUUAUCUCUAUCAGAUACGUGAUUUUACGGUUAUCUAUUGAGAUUUUAAUUUGCUAAUGUGAAUAUUUAUUUUAAUUUUCUUCACAUGAAACAAUAGUAUUCUGGCCACUCCAAGCACAACAGUUCCUUCAAAAAAAUAUAAAAUGAUAUGUAAAUUUUCAAAAUUGACAUCUUAAUUCAGCAAACAAAAAUAGUUGUUUAAAAACUAGACUUAUUUAGUUUACAAAAACUUGCACUAGAUAUCCUCACUUAAUCACUAGUUCUACACCCAAAAUAUAGACUAAAUAACUUCGCAUCUAAUAUACAAAUUUACCAAACUCAACUCCGCAUCUCAAGUGAAAAAAGAUUUCUUUAACCCAAAAGAAGACGUUGGGGCAUUAACUUUUCAAAGUGGAUUUGGCUUCAUAGUAGAAAAUUGGGAGUGAAACAUGAGGCUGAAAAAGGGCUAACAAAGAGAGCGAUCGUCCACGUGGUUGGCAGUCAAGUGGUCUUUAAAGAAGAGGAUGAAGAACUUGUUUCCCAUUGGUCCGAAAUCUAUCCAACACCCUCCUAUUAGAUUUCCCUUCCAGAUUCUCAUCUUCAUGAUUCCUACUUGGCUCCAUUUAAACCCACAAUUCAAUUCACAAUAUCUCCCACACACCCUCUUCUUCAUCAUAUCAUAUAACACAUUCCAUUACAUACCUGAAAUCUCCCAUCUCAAAAACCAUGGCUGCAACUUCUGGUGCUGUGCUUACUGGAUUGGGCUCACCCUUCCUCCGUGGAAGUAGCAGAACUCGGACCUUGCUGGCCGGAGCUAGAGGUAGUGUCAAUGUUGUCAGCUCUAGCAAGCUUGUCAUCGUCGCUGCUGCUCAGCCUAAGAAGUCUUGGCUCCCUGGUGUUAGAGGUGGUGGCAACUUGGUCGACCCAGAAUGGCUUGAUGGCUCGUAUGUUUCUUUUACUUUCUUUAAGUUAGCACAUAGGUUAUUGUUUUGAACCUGCAGUUGGAAGAUAGGAUUUUAGUCCUAGUUUAAGUUACUUUGGACUGGAAUUAAACAGGGGUAGAAAAUUAGGGAACAAAAUUGUUAUCAAACAUGUUCUAAGCAACUGUUGUGGAGAAUUUGGUAUAGGCAUUUUAUCGAACGUUUUUAGAGCAGCAUUCUUGAAAAGAUAUGGGAAAGGCAUUUUAUCAAACGGUUUCUAGGUAAUUACCAUCUAGAAUCUGGCAUAGCAUUUCAUCGAACAUUUUCAAAGCAGUUACUCUUAGCAAUCUAGAACAGUCACUUAAUCAAACAUUUUCUAAGCAACCAUAGUUGAAAACUUUAGAAGAGAUAUUUAAACGAACACUUGCUAAGCAACCAUAGUAAGUUGAUAAGCAAUUACUUGUUCCAUUCGUAGACUUCCAGGUGACUACGGCUUCGACCCAUUGGGUUUGGGGAAGGACCCUGCAUUUUUGAAGUGGUAUAGAGAAGCAGAGCUGAUCCACGGGCGGUGGGCAAUGGCAGCAGUGGUCGGAAUCUUCGUCGGACAAGCCUGGAGUGGAAUCCCAUGGUUCGAAGCCGGAGCAGAUCCAGGCGCAAUUGCUCCAUUCUCCUUCGGAUCACUUCUAGGAACCCAGCUUCUGCUAAUGGGAUGGUUGAAAGCAAACGAUGGGUGGAUUUCUUCAACCAGAAUCUCAAUCGGUGGAAUGGGCUACACCAUGGUCGAGGACGGCAGAGAAUUUCGCAAACGCAACCGGAGAACAAGGGUAUCCCGGAGGAAAAUUCUUCGAUCCAUUGGGAUUUGCAGGAACUCUUAAAGAUGGGGUUUACAUUGCAGACACGGAGAAAUUGGAGAGAUUGAAGUUG